rnacentral:tRNA from 1 species
GAAGGUAUAGCUCAGUGGUAGAGCACAUGCUUAGCAAGCACAAGGUCCCGGGUUCAAUCCCCAAUGUGUCCA